AUUGAACGCUGGCGGCAGGCUUAACACAUGCAAGUCGAGCGGUAACAGAGAUAGCUUGCUAUCUGCUGACGAGCGGCGGACGGGUGAGUAAUGCUUGGGAAUAUGCCUUAUGGUGGGGGACAACAGUUGGAAACGACUGCUAAUACCGCAUAACGUCUACGGACCAAAGGAGGGGAUUCUUCGGAACCUUUCGCCAUUUGAUUAGCCCAAGUGAGAUUAGCUAGUAGGUGAGGUAAAGGCUCACCUAGGCGACGAUCUCUAGCUGGUUUGAGAGGAUGAUCAGCCACACUGGGACUGAGACACGGCCCAGACUCCUACGGGAGGCAGCAGUGGGGAAUAUUGCACAAUGGGGGAAACCCUGAUGCAGCCAUGCCGCGUGUGUGAAGAAGGCCUUCGGGUUGUAAAGCACUUUCAGUUGUGAGGAAAGGGAUGUAGUUAAUAACUGCAUUCUGUGACGUUAACAACAGAAGAAGCACCGGCUAACUUCGUGCCAGCAGCCGCGGUAAUACGAGGGGUGCAAGCGUUAAUCGGAAUUACUGGGCGUAAAGCGUUCGUAGGCGGUUAUUUAAGCAAGAUGUGAAAGCCCAGGGCUCAACCUUGGAACUGCAUUUUGAACUGGGUAACUAGAGUACUGUAGAGGGUGGUGGAAUUUCCAGUGUAGCGGUGAAAUGCGUAGAGAUUGGAAGGAACAUCAGUGGCGAAGGCGGCCACCUGGACAGAUACUGACGCUGAGGAACGAAAGCGUGAGGAGCGAACAGGAUUAGAUACCCUGGUAGUCCACGCCGUAAACGAUGUCAACUAGCCGUUCGUGGACUUGAUCCGUGAGUGGCGCAGCUAACGCACUAAGUUGACCGCCUGGGGAGUACGGCCGCAAGGUUAAAACUCAAAUGAAUUGACGGGGGCCCGCACAAGCGGUGGAGCAUGUGGUUUAAUUCGAUGCAACGCGAAGAACCUU
rnacentral:rRNA from 1 species